CUGCCGGCCCGGCGCAGCUGAGGUUCCCGGCUCCGCGCUUCGGCCGGCAGGGUGAGUCUGCCGAGUUCCGCGGACGGAACCGGGAGGAUGUGAGACCUGCCCUUGAAGCCCGUUCGCGCUUCCCUAAUGAAUAGAGUGCAAAACAGCUGAAGAAGCAGCCUUAUUGCUCAAAAGCAAAUGUUGAUACAUCUCAGGGCUUUGAGCGUGGGAGAUGAAGGGGCCAGCUUUACGCCACUUAAGGUGGUAACAUGGUUGAUGGAGAACAGACCAAGGAGACUUCGAUCAGCUCAUUCUUCAAGGGAAGUUUCAGCAAAUGUUCACCAAGAUUAGCCGAUGGGAUUGAGAGGAGAAGACCCUCAAAUAUCCUGGGAGGUGAGUACUGUCACCAUUCCAAGUUUAACAACCAGGCUGAGAUCACCUGUCUCUCACUGGUAGAGCCUAGCUGUGAAUUCAGGUGUGCUUGAUGCUGUCUACACUGCUGGCACAUCACUGC